rnacentral:lncRNA from 1 species
AAAAUAAAUGUAUAUAUAUAUGUGUGUGUGUUUUAAUUGUUACCUGAAAGAAACCAUCAGUCUGGCAUGCAAGACCAAUCUGUUCGAUAAUAUCAGAGUGCGUUGGGCCAUGGAGGUCCUUGAGAUCAAUGAGAGGAAUGGAGGAGGCAUCUGAUACCUGAAAAUCAGUGAGAUUUGGACGGUCGGAGAUGGGUCUGAUGUAGUUUGAAGGGACUUGGUUCACACCAAACAUGAGGUCUGUUAGCAGUAGGUUUGUUGUGGUGGCCAUUUUGCUUACGACUGGAGAUGGGUCCGAUGUAGUUUGGAUCCCUGUCCCUAUUUAUAGAAUAUGAGUUGGGUUUGGCCGUUCUAGUUGUCAGAUCGGCAUGCCCACCACCUUCUCACUAUGGAGUGCAGACAGAUUUGUCUGAGGUAAGCAAAUGACGUCCUUCUGCUAUGUCAUUCUCUAAUGCAAUUUGUUAGUUUAAAGGAAUAUUUAAUCAGAUGUCAUAUUGGGAAGUUUUUUUGAAAUGAGAUAACUUACGGCUGAAAAUAUUUAAUUUAAUUUAACAUAGUUUUGUUUUAUUAUUUCAAAAGCUUAAGAAAAAGUUAAAUAAAGCCGGAGUAUGCAUAGCUAGAGAAAUAUACUUUCUCCUCCUCUCAAUUUUUCUUUCACAAGAAUUGUAGUAUGCAUUGUGAUAUUUAAAACUGUAACAAGUUAAUAAUUUAAUUACAUAAUUUUUGUAUUUUGAAAGUAGAGAAAUUUGAAUUUAAAACGUCUAUUUAUUUUUUCAAAGAAAAAUAUCAAUAUAAUUAUUAGUUACACGUUUUCUUAUAUAAUGAACCUAGAAUUCAUUCAAAUUUUUAGCUGAAUGAAUAUCCAUACAUCAAUAAUAUUGGGCAGGUGUACAGAAUUGACAGGAGAAACGAAGAACAAAAAUCAGAAAAAUGAGUAGUUUGGCUGAUACGCAUGUCGAUGUGUUGGCAACACCACCGGUGAGUUAUCCAAUGCACCACGGGGAGAUGGAAAAUGGUAAACGAGUUAGGCAACUAGGCAAGAAAAUAAUUGGGCUGCCCCACACUUAGUCUUAGUCGGAAGCAAAUUAGAAGUUUAUCAGCUCUGUCGGCAGGUAAUAUGAAAUAAAGUCAAAUAUUUUAUUUUCAAUGAUGUAAUCAAAGUAGCAUCACAAUAUCGUCAUUCCCUACGAUCUCCAUGAUGUAACCCUCGUCUGCAUCCGAGCCAAAAUAAAAACAAGGACAAAGAAAAGAGACUGAAAAAAUCAGAGGCUACCAGUGUUCCAACGAUUUAAUAUUAAAAAAAAAAAAAAAAGGUCAACCGGUCACCCAAACUUGUGACAUGUUCAUCACAAGUGUAAAUCUCUCUCUGCGGUUUCUUUGUCCUCCCUCACUCUCCUCCAACUCCAUAGCACUAUCACCAACGCAUGCAAGAACCACAAACCUGAUAAAUUUGUGCCAUUUUUCUUCUUCUUUGGGAUGAAGUAUGCAUUUUAUAGAGUGGAACAAGGGAGCCCCCGGUGGGUAUUGAUCGUUAUGGAUGAAGAAAGGUUGAGGUUUUACUAUUAAAUUAAAGGAAAUUUUAUUUGAACCCAUAUAACUUCUCUUUACACCAAACUUAAAUUUUAAAUGUGAAUUAUCUUUUUUUAUCCUAUUGUAUAAUUACUAUCAAAUACAAGGUGAAAUUAAUAAUAAAACUAAAUUUUUUUAAUAAACCCAUGGUUGAUUCUAAAGACAACUGAAAAUCUAAGGCUCCUUCGAAUUGGGGAAUCAGGAAUAAAGAACUUGGAUUUAAGAAUUUGGACAAGCAUAAAACCAUCCUCUCCUACUCCCCGCAACCUUAAAAUCAUCACUCUCUCUUCUACCAGAACAAUGUCAACAAGGUUAAAACCGAGGACAAAUCUCAAUGGCUAGAGAAAUUGCUCUUGUUGGCCUUAACCCACUUCUACCGACUUUCUAGAAGAAUGAAAAAUAACAAUUAACAUUUUCAUAAAGAUGAGGGGGGUAGCUUAAUAAACAUUACAAACUAGACAGUAAUCGUUCAAUAUAAUUUGUCUUUGUAUAAUUAUUAUUACUACUGUGCGUGUAUUUAUAAAGGGGUGUGAUAUCCACACACCCCUUUUUAUUUCUCUCACACCAUUUUAAUUUUCGGUUAUCGAAUUGGAUGAAUUGAAGAAGAUCAAAUGACAGAAAUUAGCAGCGGGUGUGGGAGAAGUAAAAAGGGGUGUGUGGAUAGCACACCCCUUUAUAAAAUGAUUUUGAGUUAUGGAGUAGAGUUUAAUUAUUGUGGCAAUGGGAGUGACUGAAGCGGCAAUGGGAUGAACAAUGGGAUCCAAUUCAGAUAAAGCACACUUUGAAUGAAUUGCAGAACAAUGAUUUAGAGUUUUUGUUUUCUAAAUGGGUCUACAGAUAAAUUUACAUAUUAAAUUGGGUUUGUGAGGGUAGUUAAGGUAUUAAAUUUGGGUUUAAAGAGAUAUUGAUAGUUUAGUUAAUAAUAAUAUGGGUGCAGAGAGUAAGUUGGGUGUAAAAAGAGUUACAUGAGAUGACACACCCCGACCGAGAUCAAGGCAUGCUAGCCAUCACGUGAGAGUGACAUAGCCAAGUGCACGGUGCAGAAGCAAUAAAGAUAAGAAUAUACGAAUAAUUAAAAACCAAAUUACUAGAGUGCACUACUAGACGAAAGUGAUAAGAGUUAGUUACAACAGUGAACACUCCUAAUCAGAGCAUAAAGUCUAGGUGCAGUCCAGUAGGACAAGUACUAGUUACACAGUACCAAGAAUGUCUUGCUCUUAUUCAAAUAGGUCAGAAAUGCCAACAAUCCCGAGCCACCGACAUCAAGCUUACUUAAAACCUGGAGGGGCGCAAAACAGAAAAUGUGAGUGGGCAAAAACAAAUGUUUUACAAAAUCAUUUCAUUCAUCAAUAUACUAACCUCUCGCUGUAAAACAUGUAUAAUUUUUCCCAGAAUCAAAAUAUAAGUAUAGACAUAAUUAGAUAUGAAAUAUAUCAACUCAAUUCAUGCUUCACAUAAUCAUAUUCAUAUGUAUGCCAUGCCAAAAUAUAACAAGGUAAACAAUCUAGGUAAGAAUGAUUUCGUAGAAAUAUGAUAUGCUAGCCGGAACCCCUGAGGUGGUCUGUACGGCUGAAUUCAUGGCUCAAAAGUCAAUCUAGCCGGAGUCACUACAAUGACCUAUAUGGCAAUAUACUGCACAUAAGUCGGAACCACUAAGAAGGGUCUGUACGACAAGAUUUGGUGUAAUAUAAUUAUGCUCAAUUUUACUCUCUCAUAAUAGUCGGGUGAUAAAUCGCUAGUCACCUAAGAGUCGGAACCAUAAAUAAGGUCUGUAUGACAAGACUGUGUACUUAAGUUGGAUCCAAUAUGAGCAUAUGGUGUGAGAGGUGACGUACAUAAACAAGCCUGUACUUCUCAUCUUUGGCUAAAUCACAAUCACCCUAGGUGCAGUUUUAUGAGCUCAACAUUAUUUAAUCACAUAUCACAUCAUCGAUGAUUCGCAUAACCAAACAUAAUUUACCUGAACUUACCUGUGCCUCCACAGCACCACAUAUAUGUAUAUUGAAAACAAAAGCCCACUCACUGAUAUGUCGAAGGGUCGUAGCCCCCGAGUCGCCCGUGGAUACGCUCGUCCUUGGGAUAAGCCUCACCUAUAUGCGAAUUAACUAUAAAAAUGUUAUUUUUAAAGCACAUAGGCAAUACUAGCUAAUAACUUCUCAUACAUUGCUCAAAAUAGGUAUAUGAAUAUACCACAGUUAUCUACACAACCUCAGAAUCAUCCCCAUAUUUUUAGAAAUAUUUUUGGACCUCCCACGCGCCGGCAAGGGCACGGCAAAACGCGCCCCCACGCGCGGUCCAAACCUAACGGAUUCCCUAACCACCAUUAGGGAAUAUUUCGUUAAACCUAACAGAUUCCGUUACAUUUGACUGACGGUGUCAGCAUAUUCCAUCCAAACUGACUGAGUAUGUCGUUAUCUUCUCCAGCGAGUCGCAGGUCGCCGGAAAACUAGGUAAAACUUUAAAUCCACUAUUCUCACUCGUUUCUUAACCAUUUUUCAUAAAAUUGGUACCAAAAUGAAGCUAGGGACAUCUACAAUCACGUUAUAAUAGUUUUAAGCCUAAAAACUGCUACAUUUUCUUAGGAAAAGCUCGAUAGAUCAGCUUACCUAGAGUAGCCUCGAUCUCAGCCCCUUGACGUCCAAUUCCUUCCAACGAAGUACCCCGAGACUUGUGAGAACCUCCUUAAGCCUCAUAUGACCUUAUAAUUCCCUAAAACACAAGGUUUUAUGUGUGCAUGAAUAGUGCACAAAAUCGGGGUUAGGUUUUCUCAAGUUUUUCUCGAUUUCAAGUCUUAAGAAUGGUAUAGAUGUACUCAGGGACUUACAAGGGACAAGAAUCUCACCUUUAGAACGUCGAUCUGUGCAUGAUUGUGAGCUUUGUUGCUUGUCCGUAUGUGAGGGAAACAGAGAGAGUUCGAGAGAUAAGAAAGAGAGGGUACGGGAAUGAGAGAGAGAAAAAGGGUAUGGAUGUGUGUAGUCCAAACAUGCACACCAAUCACAAUUGUUUAAUCUUUUAGUUCUAAUUGGGUCCAAUUAGUUAGGAAUAGAACCAAUUGACCCAAUUUCUUAAUCCAAAACACAACACACAUCCAACGCUCAAGGGUAAAUUCGUCUUUUCACAACCACGAUAAUUAAUCCUUGGGACGGGCUGUGACAUGAGAUCAAAUAAAAUUUCCCUUAAAAUUAAUUGGUAAUAUGUGGAAUACCUAAUAUUUUAUAAACUCUUGUACGAUUAAUCUUCCACCAAUGUGGAUUUCAUUUAUUUUCACAUUCUCACUUGCCUGCUUAUGUGUGACUAAUUUUCAAGCCAAACACGUGGACAACAAGAAUUAGGUGACAUGGAACAUGUGUGGCCAUUGGGUUUCACACUAUUAAUGCAGAGUUUUUUUUCGAGUGUCUUGUCAACAAUCAAGUUGAGCGCUUCCUCAUAAAGGGCCUUCGAGCACUAGAGGGCAAGUUGGCCACUAACAGCUUUAAGGCGUGAGGUCCCACAAAAGGGGCAGACCUAGUCAGACGUCAACUCCAAGCCACAUGGUGGCUAGGUAAAGGAAUAAAGGCCUACGAAAAAACAUAAAUGCUGACAGGUAGAGUGCUCGGUUACGAGUUCCACCAACACCAAGGCUGAGUAAAACGCUUGAUCGUGUCAGCCCAAAAAGGAGACAAAUGAACCUAUUCUAGUGGCCCCUUGUUGCAACAUGUGAUCAAAUAACGUAGGGACAGCUAGUAGGUCUAGUUUGAGUAUUUGGUGCAUUAAAUGCAAAGAAAGUGAUGGAUUUGAACCAAGAGGCUGAAGGUUUAGAGGAAGGCUUGUAUAAGUACGACAAGUACUUCUUAGAAAGGAUUAGAUGAAUUGAGAGACAAUCAUACUAUCCUAGCCGAGUGCUACUUGUAACCUUGUUUUCAUUUUAUAUAAAAAACUACUAAACAUAGCCAAGUUUUGAAAAUGAACCACAUAAAUCCUUUGUCUAUUAUCAUUUGUUUGCAAAGCCUAAAUCCAUCAUAAAUCCUUUGUCUAUUAUUAUUUGUUUACAAAGCCUAAAUCCAUCAUAAAUCCUUUGUCUAUUAUUAUUUGUUUACAAAGCCUAAAUCCAUCUAGGAUAAACACUUGAUCUAUUUAACAUUUGUUAACCUCACCAGUUUUGAGCAUUAACACACACAUUGGUUAACCUAAUUCUGUUACCAUGAAUAAAGUUGAGAUUACACCAUAGACGGUGUUUAUAAUCUUAUCUAACCUAUGAUUAUAAUUGUUGGAAAGACAAAUGUACCUUAAGUAAGCUGGUUUUGGAUAUCUGGAGGAUGGUGUAGUAUAUAUCAUAUUGGGUAGAGUACAUUACAUUCGUUAUGUAUGUAUGAAUUGUUAUGUUCAGCGUCAGUUAUUCAAAUAAACUAGUUAGGGACGUGACAUAAGGGAACACAUAUUUCAUUUGCGCCUGUUGAUUUUUAGGAGGAAAGAGGUAAAAGAACAAGAUGCCCUAUGAAGUAUUCUCCAGGCUAUUUAAACAAAUAAGGAGACUACUAAAAGUGUGUUCCGGAGGUUGGGAGGAGAUUUAGAGCCUAAGAGUCUAUCUGAAGGGUUUAGAAACUUUGAAGCCUCUGAAGAAGUGGAAGAUAAUGAUGUGAGGUUACCACGCUGGGUGGAUGAUAAGACUCUCCAGCCAACCAACCACGACAUCAUGAGACAAGGAAGGCCAGAAAGAACCAUAAGCCCGAUACCACCAGUUACAAAGGUGAAUUCAAUCCGAAUGGGCCGAAAAAUGGUACAUAGUGGGCAAAGACGAAAGACCUAUCAAAGAAAUGGGGGCAUCCAUGAUAAAAAGGGUUCAGAGGCAACAUAAGGCUUAUAUGAACUCACUAAAAAUUCCUGUUAUUUCAGAAGCUUCUGAGAAUGUUAAGGUCGAGGAGUUUACCCAAGGAAGAGAGAGACGACCUAGUUGGAGAAGUAGGAGAGAAGUAAAGAAGGCUAAUAGCAAGGCUGAAGGUGGAGGCUAAUAAUUAGGUUCUUGAUAUUUGACAAUAUCAAAGUCACUUCGUCAGAGGGUGUCCACGACAUGGUUGGGGUUAAACCACUUAGCCAUGGAGGCAAGUGAAUGCGCAACAAGAGAUCUCUAACCUUCAAACCGUUUGAGGGAGAAUACUCUAUGAUAUGAUUAAGAAUCUUUGACCAGAGUAUGAAUGAGAUUUAGAAAGUUGUUCCAAAUCACAUUCAAGGUAAUCAUAUAAGUAAAAGAAUCACAUUAGAUAGUAGACAUGAAUAAACUAUCAAACCAAACAAUGUGGUCAAGAGUAUUGUAUUAGAGAAUGACCAUAUUGCAUUGUAAUCCUAAACUGAAUAGGUUUUCCACCUCUUUUGAUUAGCUUGGGUAACCAUGACAUACUACUAGGUGUCACUCAUGAUUUGUGGAAGCCCUAAACGUGUAUAAUCAUUAAAGGGGGAAUUGAAAGUAAGUUUUAAUUCAUAAUCGAUUGGAAGAGUUCUAAUCGCCCACUGCCUCGCUAAAAGGAACCUAAUGGAACGUACACUGAGUAAGGUAGAGAUUGAAGAAACAACGGAGAUGAGUAAGAAUAAUUAAAUGGUUUAAUUAUUUAUGGCUAGGAUUAAUUAAUAUGUUAAUUAAUCAAACGAAUAUGUUCGUUAAAGACCUCGGGUUAGUUUUGGGCUGCAAGGCCCAAUGGGAUUUGAAUGUCUAGCCCAUUAACUCAAAUUGUAUGACAACUUGAAAACACAAAGGGCUUGAAAGCCCAAUAUACCCUUAAUGGCCAUCCAUGAUAAUAAUGGAGUGGGUUUUGGACUUAUUACAAGUUUGCCACUCCAAUGAAGGUAGGUAUAAAUAUGACUUUAUAGCCUUUUCUUCAUUAGGGUUUCUUUUGGAGAAAAGAUGAGAACACAAGCUCCAUUUUCUCUCUAAGAGGUCGGCCACCCUAGGAAGGUUUUACUAGCAUCUAAAUCUUCCUAGGUCACUCAUCUCCUCAUCAAUGCUCUCCUUGGUGUGGAAAAAUUAGAGGUUCUCUAUUUUGCGAACUUGGAGAGUCAUUUCAACCAUCAUCCUCCAAGAAAUCCAUGGAGCUAAGAAGCAAGGAAUGAAGGCCCUCUCCUUAGGUGAUUAACCUUUGCUUAUGCAAAGAGGAAUCAACAAAGGUAUAAGAUUUCUUAACUCACUUUGUUCUUGAGUUUAGUCUUGGUUCACCAUAAUUACUAGGCUUUGAAUUUCAUGGGUUAAGUUUUAUUUUUGAGUGCAUACAAGCAUGAUUCUGCCUCUUAAUUGUUAAUAGCAUGCAUAGAUGUUGCUCAAAUGAACUUGUUUUCACAAAUAUUUCCUUCAGGGAUCAUGUUCCUGAAGCUACUUAUCUAGGGAAAUACAGGGUAUUAAGAAGAAUGUAAGAGAACAUGGUGAUGGUACUUACACCAGGUUGGAAUCCAAAGCCUAUUUGUUUUAAAACCAUUUAUCCUAAAAGAGGGGUGCCUUCACUACCACAGGAGGAUAUUCCUUUGGAACUCUAGACAUCUUCAUAGUUUCAACACAAUAGAAGAAAAAGAAAUGCUCGAGUUGAUGUUAAGCAAAGAUGCCUAAGCUUGGAUAGAUUAGUUUCUGUGCCAGAUUAGAAAGAAGAAGGAAUGAACACUUGGAACUAGCAACUUUUAUGUCAACAUGACCUAUGUACUGUCCUUUAUGUUUUGUGUAGAACCAAAUCAACCAGCAGUAAUGGAGGAUGAUUAUUUGGCAAGAGAAUGGCUCUUGUAAACAUUGAAAAGGUUAGUAAGGAGGGGUCAAGCUUAAUAGACUUGCCCGACCCUACACAAAAACAGCCCAAGAGAGUUUAUUUUGAUAAGAUGGUGUUCAAAAAACCAAGUCUGGCCUUAGCAAACCAUUUAAAGCCCAUACACGUGACAACUCAUUUGGAAAAGGGUUUCUAUUAAAAAGGGUGUUGAUAGAUAGGGGGUAGUAGUUAAUGUACUACCACUUAAACAGAUAAAGGGUUUCUCACUGAUAUCACGGUGUCUAGUUUUUCUAGGGUCAUCACCAAAACACAUGGGAUACUACCCUUAAGAGUAGACUUGGGAUCUAAGAAGAUUAUGUUGGCAUUUAUUUUAGUAGACAACAACUCUACUUAUGAGGCGUUGCUGGAAAGGGAUUGGAUACACUAGAGUUUUUUUAUACCAUCUACCUUGCACCAAUAAGUUGCUGUCUAUCAUAAACCCACUAUUAUAAGACAAGGAUUUUGGGAGAUGGUAGAGGCGGAGUCACGACCAUUUCUCCUCAUAGCUAAUGUUGCUGAAGCUAAUUUUUACAAUCCCAAUGUUGGGAUCCUACAAUGUCUAGGUGCUGAUCAGAAUGGCUGCCCUAUCAAGGUGACGGUCCAAAAGCCCUUAGAACAAGGAUUUUCUCUCACUCAGGAGGAAUGUGACAGGCCUCAUAUUGUCCAUUCUUGCUAACACCAUUGAUGACAGACUAAAAGAUAAAGGACCAGGUGAUAGUGGUCAGGUUCUUAAUCAAGAGACUAUUGGAUAAUGGAAGAGCAUAAAGAGAGAUCAAGGAAAGCUCAGCCAAAGAAAUGGCAGAGUGGGGAGAGGGAACUUCAAGCACCAAAGAUGAUUAAGGAAGAGAAAUUUUGAAAGAAGAAAUGAAGGCAGCCAUCCACAUGACAUAAUGUAUAUAUGACUUAGAUUGGUUAGAGGAUGAGCCCGAGGUUGCAAAGUUAGUAGAAUUUUUAUCUCCAGAGCCUGAUAAACUAGCACCCGAAGUUCAAGACCUAUUAGAAACCAUUAAUUUGGGAACUUGAGAGGAUCCAAGGCCAAUGCAACUUAGUGGCCUGCUAGAAACAGUAGAUCGGGCAAAGAUAGUUAAUCUUUUACACAAAUAAAAAGACUGUUUUGCAUGGCAUUACAUAAAAAAGCCAGGAUUAGACUCCAGCUUAGUAGAGCAUAUAAUGCUUAUUAAAGAGGGGUAUAGACCUAUAAAGCAAGCACUAAGGAGGAUGUAAAAAGAAAUAGAAGAAAAAGUCAAGGAAGAAAUUGAGAAGCUAGUAAAUGCAGGCUUUAUUAGGCCUGUAAAAUAUAUAGAGUGGUUGGCCAACUUUAUACCUGUACUGAAAGCUGUAACUAAUGCCAUUUGAUGUUGUGUCGAUUAUAGAAAUACAAACGAAGCAACUUCCAAGGAUGGAUACCCUAUCCCUAUGGCUGAUCUAUCCAUUGAUGCAAUUGUAAAACACAAAGUAGUAUCUUUUAUGGAUGGAAAUGCUGGAUAUAAUUAGAUAAAAAUGGCUAAAGAAGAUAUACAUAAGACAACAUUCAGAUGCCUAUGACAUAUAGGAGCUUAUGAAUACGUUGUCAUGCCUUUUAAGCUGAAAAAUACUGGUGCUACUUAUCAAAGGGUGAUGAAUGCUAUUUUUCAUGAUUUGAUCGGGCAUAGCAUGGAGGUAUACAUAGAUGACAUUGUGGUGAAGUCUAGAAUUGAAGACCAGCACCUGGAAGACCUCAGACAAGCCUUACUGAGAAUGAGAACCCACAAGUUGAAGAUGAAUUCUAGAAAGUGUGCCUUUGGGGUUAGAUAGGACAACUUUCUGGGGUUCUUGGUCCAUCAAAGAGGUGUGGAAGUGGACAAGAACAAGGCUAGGGCUAUAAUAAAAUCACCUACCCCCACUAUCAAAGUGCAAUUGCAGAGAUUGCUAGGGAAGACUAACUUUUUGAGGAGAUUCAUUGCUAAUCUUGCGAGCAAGAUCUAACCUUUGACUAAUUUGUUAAGAUUAAAGAAUCAAGACAAGUUUGAGUGGGGCCCUCAACACCAAGAGGCAUUUGACAAAGUGAAGACUAGUCUAGCCUCACCUCCAGUGCUCAUGCCUCCCCAGAGGUGGAAGUCUUUGAAGCUCUACAUUUCAGCAUCCGAGAAAUCAAGAGGGAUUUUAUAUGCUCAAAAUAAUGAAAGGGGAAAAAAACACGCGAUAUACUAACUUAGUGGGUUCCUUAUGGAGGUAGAAACAAGAUAUACCCCAAUUGAAAAAUUAUGCUUAGCCUUGUACUUUAUUGCCAACAAAUUAAGGCACUACAUGUUGCCUUACCAUGUCCAUAUAAUUGCCAAAAUUGAUGUGAUCAAGUACAAGCUGUCUAAGCCAAUGCUAACUGGAAGAAUUGGGAAAUGGAUCCUAAUACUAUCAGAGUUCAGUAUGUACCUUAGAGGGCAAUAAAGGGACAAGCAAUUGUAGACUAAGCACUAAAAAUCCAAGGAGGAACUCAUCAAUAUACCUGGAACUCUGGAAGUGGCUAGCCUCUGGAUCCCACCUAGUAAGGCUCAUUCGGGCAAGAAGGAAUGUAUAUAGCAAGAAGUAAAAAUAAUAACUAGCUUAUGGAUCACUCCCUGGAGAUUAUAUUUUAAUGGAUCCUACACACAACAUGCUAUAGGAGCUAGAAUUGUCAUCAUUGAUGUAAAGGGAAUCCAGCAUUGCUACUUAUUUCUUCUGGAUUAAAAGGAUACGAUCGACAACAUGGUAGAGUAUGAAGCACUGAUCAUUGGCUUAGAAAUUCUAAUAGAGUUGGAAGCGGCUGAAAUAGAAUUAUAUGGUGAUUCUAAGUUGGUGAUUAAUCAAUUAAAUGGAAAGUACAAGUGUAGACAUGUCACAAUGGUAGGGUAUUACCUGUAGCUACUUAAUUAUUAGAAUAUUGGGGGUAAUGAAGCAACAAUUAGCCAUAUUCCCAGAGAAGCAAAUUUGAUUGCCAAUAAAAUGGCAUAAAGGGCUUCUAGAGCAUAGGUUCAAGAAAGAGAGCCUAAGAUGAAGGUAGAGAUAUAAAGGAGAAGUCUCCCUUUUAUCUUUGAGAGAGGAUUUAGCUUGUAUGUAAUGACUAAAGAGCUCGAGAUAGAGGACUGGAGAACAUCUAUCAUCUAGUACUUGAAUGACCCUUCUCUUCCCACUAGUAAGAAGAUUAGACGACAGGAAACUAAGUUUGUUAUGUUGGAUAAAACUUUGCUGACAAAGACUCUAGAUGGGCUUUUGUUGAAAUGCUUGGGCUUGGAAGAAUCAAUGAGGGUGAUGGCUGAGGUACAUGAAGGCAUUUGUGGAGCACACCAAACAAGAAUAAAGAUGAGAUGGUUACUGAGAAUAUAUGGUUUCUUUUGGCCCAACAUGGAGAAAGAUUGUAAAGCAUAUGUUAAAGGAUGUAAGGAAUGUCAAAAGCAUGAACCUCUCCAACACAUACCAUCAGUACCCUUAAAUCUAGUAAUAAAACGAUGGCUUUUCAAUGGAUGGGCCAUGGACUUUAUCGGGCAAAUAUAUCCAACUUCCAGCAAAUGACACACCUUCCUAAUUAUGGCAACUGAUUACUUUACCAAAUGGGUUGAAGCUUCAGCUGUAAGAACCAUUAAUUCAUUUGUUAUGAACAAGUUCAUUGAGACCAAAUUCCUACAUAGAUAUGGGGUGCUUAAAACGAUUGUUACAGGAAAAUGGCCAUCAUUUAUUUCAAAAGAAGUAUAGGAGUUUGCAACUAAGUUCAAUAUGAAGAUGAUCCAUUCUAGCCCUUAUUAUCUCCAAUCUAAUGUUCAAGCAGAAGCUAGCAACAAGAUAUUGUUGAACAUCAAUAAAAGAAUGGUGGCAUAUAGCCCAAAAAGGUGGCAUGAGAAGUUGGGAGAUGUUCUUUCGGCUUAUAGAACCUCAAAAAAGCAAGAACUGGGAUUACUCUUUAUGCAUUAACAUUCGGGCAAGAUGCAGUACUCCCUAUGAAGAUUAAUGUGAGUUAAGUGAGGCUUCAGAAACAAUUUGGUCUACAUAGUGAUGAAUUUAUUUAAGCCAUGUGUCAAGGAAUUGAGGAUUUGGAUGUUUCCUGAAUUGAAGCUCUAAACAAGAUCCAAGAAAGGAAAAAGGUUGUUGCCGAGCUUACAAUAAGAGAGUGACACUGAAAACUUUUAAAGAAGGAUAAUUGGUAUGGAAAGUAGUUUUGCCCUUAGGAGCUCAAGUUAGAAGUUUUAGGAAAUGGAGUCCCAAUUAGGAAAACCCUUUUACAAUUACCAAAGAAUUAGACAGAUGGGUAUAUUACUUGGUAGAUUUAGAGGAAGACUUACAGAAACAUCCAAUCAAUGCUAAAUUUCUAAAGAAGUACCACUCAACUCUUUGGGAUGUUAGAGACUGUUAUAUUAAUGAAGUAUAAUACUUAGAGAAAGGGUGAUGGCCCUUUUGUAUGUCUAAAGCAGUUGUUUCUAUUAGAAAAGUGUAAAUAAGUAAGUAAAAUAGUGAAGCAGUGAGAGAUCUUUUCAUUCAAUAAUUAGGAAAGUAUAGAAGCCCUAAAUUAAAAAGUUUAAAUCUUUAGCCAAGGUAGCUAUCCUAGAAUGAUAAGUCUGCAUGAUGGUUAAAAUGAGACCUGGCUAUUCUAAAGCUGUAUUACUGUUGGCUAGUUGGGCUUCAGACUCCUCCACUUCAUGGUUUACUUUUUUCCCAUCCUCGAUUUUCUUGUAUAGCUUGCUCGAGAGGGUCAUAUGCUCAGCCUUCAUAGCAGGAAAUUGUUUAUCCAGUUUCUGGAUCUCGGCAGCUACCACCAUUAUCCAAUCAUCCAUGGUUGAGCCAUCUUCCACCUGUUGUUGUAGAGUAGUAGAGGUCCAAGUGUGCUUAUCUUUGUAGCACUUCACACUAUUGGCUUGCCACUUGGCCUUAAGAUGCUGAUCUUUCAAAGCCCUUAGAUUUUCAAAGAAGGAAAUGAAAGACUUAUAUUGCAUCUUAGUCAUCUACUGGGCUUGGUAUUAUUGAGUGAGAGCUCUCUUAGCAUCUUGAAGAGCCUUAAGGCUAGAGGAGGCAAAAAAGUCUUUCUGCAUCCAUUCUUUAAAGAUCCUGCACUAAUCUUGAAGAUGUUGAGGCUCAGAAGGGCGCCUUGGGGAUCACUGCUUCGUCCUAAUUUGCCUGAACUCUCUAACUAGUUCGGGCAAAAAGGUCAUGGCUGGAAAAGAAGCUAGAGGAGGAGGCAACACGCCAUCAUCACCAGAAGCAGCAGCAAUGACAACUUUAGCAGGAACAGAAGGAGAGGAUUCAGCAGCAGCAACCUUUUUAGGUCGAGAUAAUCGAAUUUCUGAAACUUCAGUAGCUCCAAAAGGUUGAGGAGGACCCACUCUACUCACAACAGGCUGAGAAGACCUGCCCGAGCCCUCACCAGAGGCCUGUUAUAACACAGAGAAGACAAAUUAAUGGAACGAUGUUGACUCGAAUUAAGAAAAGACAAGGUUGUGAGCAUGUUUGUACCUGAAAAGGGCCUUGUGCUUUGGGAUAAGGAAGUGUUGCGGUAGCUGCCUCUCCACACCUGUCUUCCUCUCUUUGGGGGUAAAAUCAAGAUUCUUGCUAAUAGUAGGUCCUAAUCACAAGAAAGAACAUGAUCAGUUAAAAGCUGAAGGAGAUGAAAUUAAAUAAAUCAAGUUUGAAUCACUUACUAGCAGACUUCUGUUUUUUUCCUGCCUGCUUCAAUUGAGAGGGCAGAAAGAAAUUUAGAGGCUUGAGAGGUUUGAGACUUGUUUUUUUUUUUUUUUUUGGUUAGAGUGGCUCUUAGAGCAGGGUGAUCAGGUCUAGCUUAGGGCCUCUCCUCGGGCCCAAAAUCAGAAGAUUCUACAACAGAAGAUCUUGCUCAACGAGAAGCCCUGGUCUCUACUUUGGGCCCAACUUCUGUCUCUAAUUCACUGAACAUUUCAGAGAUGUUCCCAGCAUCCUCAGGAACAUGGCUAGAGCCUGCUUCUUGCCUAGCUGCCUAUACAGCAGCCUCUUAAGAACCAAAGAUUCAACGACAUCUUUUUCUGGCUCGACAUCCAUUCAUCAGAGUUACCUUGGUUUGCAAGAUCAAGGAAAAAGUUGGCAAUCACAAACUAUGAAAAUAUGAAGUAAAGGAAAGAGGCAACAAUGUAGGUUACCUAUCAGAAAAAGUUGGUUUUUUUGAUUGAUGACAUCCUUCAAACUUUCAAACUCUUCUUUUUUGGGAAGGGACUUGAAGAAAACUUGCCUGAGUAUCAUAUUAUGGGCUUCUCUAACAUCUCCAUCAUAUUUCCUAAACGACUUGCCUUCCACCAAGUGGUGUACCGAGAUGUGCACUCAAAAUUAAGGGCCGCAUGCUUAUGAGCUAUCUUGGUCAUUACCUUCAAGUUGCGCUUGCUUGCCUAAAACGUAGCCUCUGAGAGAGAAAUAAGGCGAAAUGAUGUUCCACACUGGACUGAAUCGAAGAAGAGGAUUAGGAUUGGCUGUCUAAACCCCGUUGCGUACCACAUAAAUUGGGGCGGUAGACCUCCAGCUCGCAUUCAUAGCCCACUUGAUCAGUCCUUACUCCCCAUGCCAAAUCCUUAUGCUUAGCAUCAUCCCCAAAUGAAUGCUGGAAAAGGUUGUCCGAAAAUCCAAGGUACCUCCUGAGCACUGAGGCCACUCAAGAUCAACCCUAGUCCUACAGAUUUUGAAGAAAUAGAGGCAAGCUAAAGUCAAGUGGUUGAUUGUGGGAGCCUUUGCUAGAAUGUAGGCGGAAGUUGCUCAUUUUGGAAACUCCAAGUUGGAAGCCCAAAAUUUUGGGAAGUACCAUUGAAGCCAAAGCUACACCAUCCAGGUAGCUCUAUUAACGUUGGUCUCGAAGGAUGAUCCAUUGUCAUCUCAUAAAACAGAUGAUAGAGAUGUGCCAGAAUGAAGGGGCCAAUGGUGACAUUAUCAAAGGAAUGCAGCGCCUCUACCAAAGGGAUCUAUUAUAGCUUCACUCAUUUGGAUUUGUUGGGGAACACAUGUUUAUUCAACCAAUAUAAAAGAAAGUACAUGUGCUUCUAAGCAGGGUCAGCAAUGGGGGAAGGCGGGCUGAACAUUUUCUUGGCAAAAGAGAUGAAGCAUGCGAAAGAGGUCCUAUAACUCUUAAAGGUGGUAGAGUUAUACUCCAAUCUGGUGAUAGACCAAGAAGCCUCUAAGCCUUUAGCAGCAGAAUGUGAGGGUGAUAACCAAUCGUGUGUAAUGUCUACAGAUUUGCCCGAUGGCCUUAAACCAAAAACCUGAGCCAUAUCUAGGAUGGUGGAAGACAUUGGACUCACUCUGAAAUCAAAAGUAUUGGUCCCUGUGUUCUAGAAAAGGAGAGCUGUUGAGAGAAACUCAUGCUUGAUGGGGAUAAUCUUGGACAUCAUGAUAAGCUCAUAGAUGUCAUUUGCCAUCCAUUUCUUCUUCCAGAUGGGCCAUAAUUUAUCCACCCACUUAGACCAUGCUUCAUCCUUCAUCCUUCAUUAAAGGGAAACCCCUCUUGAAGUGAGAUAUUCUUGCCUUAGCAAUGUAAGGAUUGAAAGAGAACCAGUUGGCAUCGGGCAUGUUGUUAUCCAUAGCAACAUGAACUUCAGAAGUCCAGGCAGACCCUAGUGAAUGCACUCCCCCUUCCUAGAAGAAAAUGGACAGAUUAAGACCAGCCCGAGGACGAUGAAGGCCGUUGAGUCAACAGAGAAGAGUUACAAUCCCUUCUCCAGACUUGUAUGCAGGGCGCAAUUUAGGCGCCAUUGUUGAAUUCGAUAGAAAAUAGUGAAACAAUGGUUAGAAAAUAAGGCAAGAAAGGGUUGAAAAUUCAAGAAAGUUGGGAAUUCAGAGAAUAAAGUUUGUUGAAGGAGAUGUCCAAAAAGAGUGAAAUUGAAGUUAUUUAACGGACAGGCAGUUAACGUUGAAAAUUGUGGGUUAGUACAAAGGUUUAUUUAAAACGGCUAAUUUAUAGGCACUAAUACCCAGUUUCGGCAUGCAAUUGAUUUUAAUCAUUAUCAAUAUCUUGAUUAGUAGACUUAACAAUGAUUAAAGGGGGCACUAUUUGAAUGGAUAUUUGAUCGGAUCAUAUUUAUAUAUAUUUUUACUUCAAAUUCACUCGUCUUUUCUUAGUUAGUUCCUUAUAUUUUUGAGCUAUUUACGUUAUUUUUGUGUUUAUAGAAUUUGUUAUGCAAAGAAAAUAAAAAUGGCACAAACUUGUUAUUUACUCACUAAAUUUUGUCAGGUUGGAAUCAGAGUUUGCACUGGGGUUUUUAUUAAACUUAUGUUUCAGGUGGAAUGGUGAGUAACGCACAAAGAAAAGAAGCAGCAAGGCUGCCAAAAAGAAGAAUAAAAUAAAAGAGGAAAAGCAGCACUUGGCUGCCUGGGUGGAACAAAAGAAAACAAAAGAAUGAGUGGAGCACGAAGAAAAGAAUAAUGUGGAGAGAGGCGCGGCUUUGGCAGCUGAAAAGCAUGUAAGAGAGAUAGAGAGACAGCUACGAACAGGGGGGGGAUAGAAGGGGGGGGUCUUGGAGGUGGAGAGAGUGGCUGCCCUUUGGGCAGCUCGCAGAGAGCGCAGGAGGCGCAUAAAAGACGCGGGAGUGAGAGGCGAGGAAAUAAGGCUGAAGAGGAACAGCUGCCAUUUGGCAGCUAUGAGCACGGACAGAGAACACGAGGGCUGCCAUUGGGCAGCGGUAGUGAGAGAAGUGAGGCAGUGCAGUCCAGGUGAUAAACAGAAAGCAAGUCAGCGAGGGAGAGGGCAAGCAUGAGCACGAACGCAGCAGAUCCUCUUUCGGUUUAAUUUUUCCAAACUUCUCUUUUAUUUCUGUUUUAAUAAUGUGUAAUUAAAUUUAUGUUGGCUAGAGGUUAAUUCAAAGCCGUGAUUUAUAUUUGUAAUAUGAAUUGAUUACCUUCGGUUGUGAUUUCAUAAGUUGUGAUUUCAAUUUACUUAUCCGUUCGUAUAAAAACUGAUUUGUGUAUGUUGGUUGAGAGUGCACGCUUAAUUCACAUGCAUGAAUUUGAUGCUAGAAUAUAAGUGAAUUUCACCUAAUCGUUAUGAACUUAUUUUCACAAGUAGUAAAGGUUGCUAGUCACAAUCACGUUAAGUAAAUUCUUGGCAAGAGUAUCAUGCUUUUCAUAGUUAUGAAUGCCUCGUCAAUGCUUAUAGUUUUCACAAAGUUUAAUGAUCUUUGAUUGUAUCUCUAUUGUGCUUUUCACGUAGGGGACUUUUGAAGAAUGUUUUGAAUUGUUGUAUGCGUUUUCCCGUCCAAUUCAAUAACUUAAGGAAAACUUGAAGAUUAAAAAAGUGCUGUUCACGGUUAAUCUGGAGUAUUGAAAUUCACAAUUUAUUAAAAGAACAACUGGAAAUCAUUUUGUAUGCAAGUAUAACAUGUGUGGAGAAGAACCCUCUAGCUAGUCCGUCAUUUAUCAUUUUACCUUAAUUUUAUGUUUUUGUCAAUUCUGUAAUUUAAUUAAGUUUAAUUUACUUUUCAUCAAAACCAAACACCCAUCCAUUAUUAAAUUAUAUUAUUUAAUUAGUUUUCAUUAUUGUUAGUCUUUUAAUUCAAUUUCCGUCCAUUUCAGUUCUUAGUGUUUAAUCAGAUCAUUUUCAUUAUUUUGAGUCAUCCUAAGUGUGUUUCGAGUUAUUAGAGUUUUUAGCCUAGUUUUGUAUCAUUGAGUCUUGUUUAAUAUUUUUAAAUUAAUUUAGAAUAGAUUAGCAAUCCCUCCUAAUCCCCGGCCUAGAACGAUACCCUACUUACAUCUAUACUACAAUUGUCAAAAAGAGGGUUUAAUUUGUGUGUCAAGUAAUUUUCACAUCAAAUUUUGGCGCCGUUGCCGGGGAUCGAACCCGGGUCACCCGCGUGACAGGCGGGAAUACUUACCACUAUACUACAACUGUCAAAAGAGGGUUUAAUUUGUGUGUCAAGUAAUUUGGGGGAAGGCGCCAAAAUUUGAUGCGAAAAAUUACUUGACACACAAAUUAAACCCUCUUUUUGACAAUUGUAGUAUAGAUGUAAGUAGGGUAUCGUUCUAGGCCGGGGAUUAGGAGGGAUUGCUAAUCUAUUCUAAAUUAAUUUAAAAAUAUUAAACAAGACUCAAGGACACAAAACUAGGCUAAAAACUCUAAUAACUCGAAACACACUUAGAAUGACUCAAAAUAAUGAAAACAAUCAAAUUUAGACACUAGGAACUGAAAUGGACGGAAAUUGAAUUAAAAGACUAACAACAAUGAAACUAACGAAAUAAUAUAAUUUAAUAAUGGAUGGGUGUUUGGUUUUGAUGAAAAGUAAAUUAAACUUAAUUAAAUUACAGAAUUGACAAAAACAUAAAAUUAAGGUAAAAUGAUAAAUGACGGACUAGCUAGAGGGUUCUUCUCCACACAUGACACAUAUGCAACCUAAAUUAAUUUUCAGUUGUUCUUUCAAUAAGUUGUGAAUCUCAAUACUCCAGAUUAACCGUGAACAACACUUUUUUAAUCUUCAAGUUUUCCUUAAGUUAUUGAAUUGGACGGAAAAACGCAUACAACAAUUCAAAACAUUCUUCAAAAGUCCCCUACGUGAAAAGCACAAUAGAGAUACAAUCAAAGAUCAUUAAACUUUGUGAAAACUAUAAGCAUUGACGAGGCAUUCGUAACUAUGAAAAGCAUGAUACUCUUGCCAAGAAUUCACUUAACACGAUUGUGGAUAACAACCUUCACUACUUGUGAAUAUAAGUUCAUAACGAUUAGGUGAAAUUCACUUAUAUUCUAGCAUCAAAUUCAUGCAUGUAAAUUAAGUAUGCAUCCUUAAUCGACAUGCAAAAAUAAGUUAUCAAUCAAGCAGUUAAACAAAUUAAAUCACAACUCAGAAAUCACAACUGAAGGUAAUCAAUUCAUAUUACAAAUAUAUACAUGGCUUUGAAUUAACCUCUAGCCAAAAUAAAUUUAGUUACACAUUAUUAAAAACAGAAAUAAAAUAUAAGUUUGGAAAGAUUUAACCGAAAGAGAAGGCAGCUUGCUGCUUCUGUUUUUCUCCUCCCCGAGGCUCACGCUGCUCGCCAGUCUGAGUCCGCAAGGCAGCUCGCCUUCUCGGUUUUCACAAAAGAAUGAGUGGAGCACGAAGAAAAGAAUAAUGUGGAGAGAGGCGCGGCUUUGGCAGCUGAAAAGCAUGUAAGAGAGAUAGAGAGACAGCUACGAACAGGGGGGAUAGAAGGGGGGGGUCUUGGAGGUGGAGAGAGUGGCUGCCCUUUGGGCAGCUCGCAGAGAGCGCAGGAGGCGCAGAAAAGACGCGGGAGUGAGAGGCGAGGAAAUAAGGCUGAAGAGGAACAGCUGCCAUUUGGCAGCUGUGAGCACGGACAGAGAACACAAGGGCUGCCAUUGGGCAGCGGUAGUGAGAGAAGUGAGGCAGUGCAGUCCAGGUGAUAAACAGAAAGCAAGUCAGCGAGGGAGAGGGCAAGCAUGGGCACGAACGCAGCAGAUCCUCUUUCGGUUUAAUUUUUCCAAACUUCUCUUUUAUUUCUGUUUUAAUAAUGUGUAAUUAAAUUUAUGUUGGCUAGAGGUUAAUUCAAAGCCAUGAUUUAUAUUUGUAAUAUGAAUUGAUUACCUUCGGUUGUGAUUUCAUAAGUUGUGAUUUCAAUUUACUUAUCCGUUCGUAUAAAAACUGAUUUGUGUAUGUUGGUUGAGAGUGCACGCUUAAUUCACAUGCAUGAAUUUGAUGCUAGAAUAUAAGUGAAUUUCACCUAAUCGUUAUGAACUUAUUUUCACAAGUAGUAAAGGUUGCUAGUCACAAUCACGUUAAGUAAAUUCUUGGCAAGAGUAUCAUGCUUUUCAUAGUAACGAGUGUCUCGUCAAUGCUUAUGUUUUUCAUAGAACUUAAUGAUUCUUGCUUGUAUCUCUAUUAUGCAACUCAUGUAGGGAACUUGUAGGGAAUGUUUUGGGUUGUCGUAUGCAAUCAUCCAACCCAAUAACUUGUGGAAAAACUGAGGGUUAAUUAGUGCAAUUCAUGGUUAAUUUGGGGCGUUGAGUAUUCAUAGCUUAUCGAAAAGCAACUGGAAAUCAUUUUGUAUGCAAGUAUAACAUGUGUGGAGAAGAACCCUCUAGCUAGUCCGUCAUUUAUCAUUUUACCUUAAUUUUAUGUUUUUGUCAAUUCUGUAAUUUAAUUAAGUUUAAUUUACUUUUCAUCAAAACCAAACACCCAUCCAUUAUUAAAUUAUAUUAUUUAGUUAGUUUUCUUUAUUGUUAGUCUUUUAAUUUAAUUUCCGUCCAUUUCAGUUCCUAGUGUUUAAUUUAAUUGUUUUCAUUAUUUUGAGUCAUUUUAAGUGUGUUUCGAGUUAUUAGAGUUUUUCGCCUAGUUUUGUGUCCUUGAGUCUUAUUUAAUAUUUUUAAAUUAAUUUAGAAUAGAUUAGCAAUCCCUCCUAAUCCCCGGCCUAGAACGAUACCCUACUUACAUCUAUACUACAAUUGUCAAAAAGAGGGUUUAAUUUGUGUGUCAAGUAAUUUUUCGCAUCAAUAUUUAAUGUUGGGCUUAGUGAUAUUGGAGGUCUAAGAGUGCAAAAAGUAGAAGGAGGAUUGGGCUAGGACAGUUGGCAGCCCAGGAAGAAUUGAAAAUCAUUUUUUGCCAAUAAAUAGGCAACAAGAAACAAGCCUAUGUGAGAGGUGGCAUUAUGAGGGCAGCUCACCCCCAGGAAAAAUUACUUUUCAAGGGCAUGGAUAGGUAAAUAAAUGAUGACUCACCAUGUUUUGGAGGCCAUCACCAAAAGGGGAAGGCUUAGAUAGUCAGGCUACAGAGUCUAUAAAAGCAAUGAAGGACACAAGGAAGAAUGACACUUAACCAAUCAAUCAAAAGACAUUCAACUUUACACUCCAACAAACAAGAAACCAGAAAACUUUAGUUUGUUCAAACUUUACCCUUUUAGUCGCAAGUCCACAAUAAAAAGCCAUCUUUUGUCAAGUUUUAGAAGCUCUGCUACCUUUCCCCUAUGUUGUAGUAUUGAAUACCUUUACUAAACCCAAUUUAUCUUUCAUUCUCCAAAGAUUACAACCCCUGUAAAACACAAGGAGAAUUGGUUGCAAAAAGACGAACCUUGCCUGACAAGGUCAUAAUCUUGCUCGAAUCUUUUUUGUUUGUACUUACAUAAAGUAGAUUUGUUGUUUUAUGCAUAUUUCAUUGUAUCCUAUAUCAUUUUUUUACUACUUUUCGUUCAAAGUUUCAUCUAUGAUUAAUCUUCCUAAACUAAUUAAUCUUGUUUCUUUAGUGUUAACCGUAAUCAAAGAAAUAAUUUGAAGGCCAUGAACUCCUUUCAAUUGAGCAUAUGAUAUUAUGAGUAAAACUCCUUGUUUAUAAGGCAAGAAAAAGAACUUUAUACAGACUUAACCCAUCCGUAAACAAUCCAAUUGAACUAAGAAGUCUAAAUAACUUGUGGCCCAAGUAAUCAACCCAUUUAAUAACAAAAAAAAACAACAAUUUGAUAUACAAAGAUAACGUUGGCACGCUCGGACACAUAUUAGUUUUGAUUGUAAGCCUCAAGGCCUAACAAAGGCCCCACAAAGGCACCAUAAAAACUAAUAACAAACUCAUAUUGCAAUACACCAAGAAGCAAACCUUGUCCAACAGACAAGACCUAGGGGAGUUGUGUGAGGGACAUAUCUAGCUCGAACACGAUUGUUUUGCUCUUAUAUGUUCAUUUCUUGUUUAAUCUACCUAUCUAGUGAAUGAAUGAAAGUUUAUUAUAAUUUCUUUGAAGCUCAAAAGAUUAUAGUGACAUAACAUACCCAACUAGAAACUACAUAUUUUUAACAGUUCCACGACGGAAAAGGUAAAAGUGGAACAAGCAACUCGAAUGUCUGAAAAUCUUGCUGCUUUUGCCAAACUUUGUAAUUCUCUCUUUAUUCUCUCUUUUCCCAACACAUUGGUAUUCCUUAGGUACACAUCAAACAGAAACAAACUUUUAGUAGAAAGACUUGUUUCAGGGCCUUAUUGUAUCACCAUAUCCACCACUAUCACUUUUCCAUUGUCUGGCAAGGCCUCAUAGCAAUUCUUCAGUAUCAUCAAGCAUAGAUCGUCAUCCCAACUGUGUAGUUACAUUGUUAAUAAAAUCAUUUGCAUUAGUUGAAAGCUGUCGAAAGUGUAACUAGUCGAAGGAUAUUGGGUUAGAUCGAUUUGAACACGAAGCUUAAGUGUAGGGGUAAACAAGCUAGAUUGCCCACACUUUUACUGAAAUUUUUGAUUCAGCCAAAGUAGAUGUUUGCUUUUGAACAUGCUUUGUAAAUCAGUAGUUAAAUAAUUCUUAAAACCCUCACCUUCAUGAAAAUGGCAUCGCCUUUCGGAAUCCUUACAAACAUAUCUCCUGCAAUGUGCUCUAUACCUGUAGCAAAACUCUUCUGUAAGUUAGCAAAGCAAAAUGAACUACAAAAAGCUACAUGAAAUUGUCCAAUGGUAAGCAAAAAAUUUAUAUCAUACCGGGAUGGGAGGGAGACUUUUCAACAACCGAAGGCAAAUCAUAGUUAGGAAUAGUACCAUCGCCACCACCCACAUCUACCAGUGCACGUAAACCUUCGAGACUCGUAUAAAUCUCCAUAAUCUCCUUCUUAAAAAUGAGGUUAAACUCUUUCAUUGAGUCCUUGAACACAUUACCAAGUCUUUCAUCCCUAUCAAUGUAAUCCACCACAUUCAUACCAUAGGCCUUGAUAAAUGGGAGUCCUCAUUCCAAAACUGCAUAUUUCAAAUGGUACCUGUAGAAAUUGUGACAUAUAAAGAUGACUGCACUGAUGAAAAAGAAAUGAACUUUGUUUAGUUCUUUACUUGCAAAUCAAUCAUAGUUUGAUGCGUAUACAUAAAUUACUCGUUUAUAACAGAACAUGAAAAGUUUUUGCACACGUGUUAGACUGUAAGUUAAAACCAAAAUGAUUGAAUUAACAAGGUUUUGUAAAAGGUUGUAGUAGAACCAGUUAUCUAGGAUAACCUUGUCAUGGCAUAAAUUGAGCAAUGGUGCCAAAGACACCCCACCCUGGUUCUUAAUAAAGUACUUGGAGACAGGUGCAAACCCACAAAUCCUAAUAACAUUCCCAUUAGCUUGGAUUGUCGAGCAAGUGAGAACAAAGUAAGCGGAAAAAAGGCGAAGCAUGUGAUCAAGAAUUGAAGGGGCAUCCAAAUUGUGUAGAGAUCAAAGCUGAGACGUUAUUUGGGAAGGCGAAAGCAGGACUCCGGCGCCAUCUCUGUGGAUAAUGUCAAGCACACCAAGCUCUAUGGCUGCUUUAAGCACCAUAGGCAAUAUUGAUAUGUUUGCCAAUUGCAUAGCAUAUUGGGAGUCAGCUUCCUCUUCUCCAUUAAUGGUGGACAUUUUCAACUGUUUUUCCCUUGUUUUGUUGUUCUGAUUUUUUUGUUUGGAAUGCUUGUUUAUAUUGUUGUGAAUGUUAAAUAGGCAUGAGAGGUGAAAAGUGUUUUCAAAUUCAUUAUGACUCUAAAUUUGUUUGGUUGCUAGAGGAAGUAAUUGUGCAUGAGACUAAUCAAAGUUGCAUAUAUUAUAAGUAUAAAAAAUUACAACUGAAGAAAAAAGUAAGAAUUUUGAGAGAGAGAGAGAGAGAGAGAGAGAGAAAGAGAGAAAUAGAGAAGUGGAAGGCAAUUCAAGAAAUGUGGGCAAAGCAUCGCUUGAUAAAAUUGUAUCCAUGGUAGUUUCAUAAAUCGCUAAAGUGACUUUUGAAUUUGGAAGUCUGCUCGGCAUUUGGGAUACGUCUCUACAAUUUUCUCCUUAAUGAAGGUUCCAGAACAUCAAAAGGGUUUGAUUUUGGGGGUAAUUGUGACACGCCCGACCCUGAUAUUCCUCAAACACUAGGGUAGGUACGUGCUGGCCGACACUCGAAGGUGACGAAGCCAUAUUAGGAUGCAUGAGAACAAAUAUUAAAUAAGACUUAUAAAUUAAAUAUAAUUAAUAUGCAAAUGAGGAACGUGUUCAGAGCAUACAACUAAUUUAUUGACUCUAGAAAGGAAAUAAUAUAAAAUUGAAUGAGCAAGGGAAUGAGUCCUACACUAAGAAGACUCGAGGAUGCCGAUGCGGAAGUGCCUUAACGCCAGGAUUAUACGCCUCGAUUCUAAGUCUUGAGGGGGUGCAAAACAAACAUGAUUGGACCAAGUUAAUAUAUAUAAUACUAAAAUAGUUAUCAACAUACUAACCCCCAAAGUUUAAUGAAAACAUCAAUAGCGUAAUUUGUAAUAGGUUUCCGAAACCCUAAUAUGCCAUAAAAUCUUUCAUAAAUCAUAUCUCGUAUAUAGUGUGAUAAAUAGUGGUAUCCAAUGAUAAUAUCUCCUGGCCCAAUGCUAGCUUUUAUGUCUCUACGCUUGUAGCUAGAGAUUAUUUCUCCUGACCCAUUGCCAGCUCCAUGUCUUUUGGCCCGAAGCCAGAGAUUAUUUCCCCUGACCCGCAGCCAACAACCAUAAUCCUCGCCCAUGGUGGUAUAGUGACCACUAGAUAAGCACAAAACCAUUGAACAUAGACUUUACAAACAUAGGUAUAUAUAUCUAAAAAACAUCUUCAUAGUAUAAAGUCAUUCAUCAUCUAUACUAUAAAGAAGUGUGCAAAAACAUGUUCAUAAGCAGUAUAAAGUCAUCCAUCAUCUAUACUAAAAAGAACAUGAGUUUAAUAAAAUAUGGUAAUUCAAAAUAUUCUCAGUAGGCGUAAUAUCUCAUAAAACGUUUCACAAAACAUAAUCAUUAAAUCAUGCUUUUCAUGUAUACAUUUCUACUAUUAAAACAUGUAUUUUAGAAGGGGUCCACUCACAGAUAAUUCAUCGUCGAAAAGCCAUGCAAAUUAGCGAAGAGGGAAUCACCACAAUAAAUGCACCUAAGCACAUAAGGGGUCCAAUUAAUAAAACUUUAUUCAAAAGAUUGAAUUUGGGAAAAUGGUCAUCAAAAAUAGAUUUAGGACGUCGAAUUACCCUAAGAAGGGUCCUGGGUAAAUUUCAAAAAAGUCAACACGGGAAUAUUUCAACCGGAUCUGGCCUAGUGGGUUUGGGUUGAAAGGCUGGACCAAGAGGCUGGGCCGGUUUCCUUGGCCCAAGGGCUUGAGUUCAAUUGGAUUUUGGGUUAGGUUUUAGAGGUAGCGAGGCCUAAGGCCCAAGUUUCACUCGGCCUCAAGGCCGGUUCUGGGUUACACAAGGGUUGGGCUCGGGGGUUUAGGCCCAAAGGCCAUGAGUUUUUUGUUCUUCACCGGGGAAGAAGGCUGGAGCCUCCCGAGCUUCGGUUGCCGACCAAACAAUUCCUAAGCUUAUGAUUUAGAUACCAAAGUGGGUGUUGUGGGUGUCUUGAUGCUUCACAGGGACGAGGGAGAGGGAAGGUUUAGAUGAUGGUGGUGGUGGUGAAUGUGUUGGGGUGCUUUGUUGAGGUGUGGUGUAUAUGGGUGUGUACUGGUCCUCGGGGAAGAGGGAAUCCGAGAGAGGAAGCACAUAAAAGAGAGUGAGAGCUAAGGGAAAGUGAGGGAGAGAAAGAGUGGAUGAGUUCACGAGGAAUAGGAGAACCAGGGACACAAAUCAGGGGGUGGGCACCUUGGGCUCACCAAUUAAGAUCCAAAAAUAAUUUUUAAAUAAAAACCCAAAACUUAGUGAAAUUACAAAAAUACCAUUUCGUUUCGUAAAUUCCAGGAUGAGCUGUCAAAAAUUAGGUUAAAUGAUUCUGGUUAUCAAAUGAUUGAACAACUGGGAGCAAUUUGCUUACGAUACUUAGUUGACAUUCAUAAAAAGUAUCUAAUGAAUUAUGAGUUCAAUACAUCUUGUUUAGCAGAAAGACAGAUAUUCCUUGCUCAUUAUCAGACAAUCACUUAUUCACAAACCUCUUGUGGGGCUAAUAGUUUUCAUUUCCCAUCUCAUGGAAAACCUUUUUCGCUCCGCUUAGCCCUAUCCCUCUCUAGGGGUAUUUUAGUGAUAGGUUCUAUAGGAACUAGGACGAUCUUAUUUGGUCAAAUACCUAGCGACAAACUCCUAUUACAGCAUUUCUGAACAAGUUCCUGGCUAACAAUAAGGGCGUUUAUGUCUAUUCAAGUGAACAUUUUGUUAUAUUUGAAAGUUUAUAUAAAAACUAACAUUUUUGAAAUUAAGAGAAAUUUUGGCUAUUAAUGAUAAAAAAACUUCUUGAGACGAAAUAUAACAUAUGCGUUAGUGGACAGAGUAAGGAGCUCCUCAAGUUAUGGCAUUGGGAGUAGGAUUCUCUCCCUCUUAGUUUCCCUUCCUUCUUCUCCUAUUUGAAAUUACGAUUACAAGUAUCAAUGUCAGUUUUGUAUUCAUUUUUGGGGUCUGUUUACAUGGUUCAAUUUCAUUUUUUCGUCUCAAAAGAGUUGUUUCCCCUAAAGUGUAAAUUUUGGGACAGUCUCAUACAUCCGUUAAUCAAAUUGUUAAGUCUCCCGUUAACUGUGACGUGGCCCCUAUAUGGACACUGACUAGACGCCAAGUGUCAUCCACGUUUUUUUUUCUUUUUUUUCUUUCUUCUUCUUCUUCUUCAUCUUCUUCUUCCGACUGUAACUUUUUUUUUCUUCCUCCUUCUCUUCUUCUUCUUUUUCUUCUUCUUCUUCUUUCUUCUUCUUCUUCUUCUUCUUCUUCUUCUUCUCUUCUUCUUCUUCUUUUCUUCUUCUUCUUCUUCUUCUUCUUCUUCUUCUUCUUCUUCUUCUCCUUCUUCUUCUUCUUCUUCUUCUUCUUCUUCUUCUUCUUCUUCUUCUUUCCUUGUUUUCUUUUUUCUUUUUCCUCCUUUUCCUCAUUCUUCCUACGACUGCAACUUUUUUUUUUCUUCCUCCUUCUUCCUUCUUCUUCAUUCUUCUUCCUUCUUCCUUCUUCUUCCGAAUCUGGGGAAGAUUUUUUUUUUCUUCUUCCUCCUUCCUUCUCCUUCCUCCUUCUUUCUUCCUCUUCUUCUUCUUCUUCCUCCGAAUCAGGGUUGCAGAUUCGGUUUUUUUUUUUUUUUUUCUUAUUUUUUCUUCUUCCUCUUUCUUUCUUCUUCUUCUUCUUCUUCCUCCAAAUCUGGGGAAGAUUUUUUUUUCUUCCUCCUUCUUCUCCUCCUUCCUUCCUCCUCCUUCCUUUUUCUUCUUCUUCUUCUUCUUCCUCCGAAUCUGGGGAAGAUUUUUUAUUAUUUUUUUUCUUCUUCCUCCUUCUUCCUUCUUCUUCUUCUUCUUCCUCCGACUGCAACUUUUUUUUUUUCUUCCUCCUUCUUCCUUCCUCCUUCUUCUCCUUCUUCUCCUUCUUCCUUCUCCUUCUUCUUCUUCUUCUUCUUCCUCCGAAUCUGGGGAAGAUGAAGGUUUUUUUAUUUUUUUUAUUUUUUAUUUUAAUAUAUAUAUAUAUAUAAUUAUUUAUUUAUUUUAUAAAUAAUUUAUUUUUAAUUUCCACAUGGAUGACACGUGGCGCCCAGUCAGUGUCUACAUGGGCGCCAUGUCACAGUUAACGGGAGACUUAACAAUUUGACUAACGGAUGUAUGAGACUGUCCCAAAAUUUACACUUUAGGUAUGACUCUAAGACGAAAAAAACUUGAUGUACUAAAUGUUGAAAAUCACGAAACAUGAGGCUAGUAAACAGUCUUUUACUCUAACUUUUUAAUAGCCAGAAGAAGACAAAAGGCGAUCUAUGAGAGGAGGGGAGAAAAUGCGAUGAAACUAGGAGGAGAGAGAAUCAUACUCUAUGACAUUAAUUAAGCAAAGUACUGUACAAUUCUCAAAUAAAUUUAUUACUAUAGCAAAUUCAAAUGGACAUCAACAAUAUCCACAUCAUAGUGAUACUUUAUUGAUUCUAAUGUAAAUUACAUACUUUUUAUUUUCGUAUUUAUUCAUAAACUUAAAAAUGAAAUAAAAAUAAAAAUAGUGUCAAUAUCUAUUUCAGAUAAAUAGACAUACUACUGAAACACUCAAACUAAAGUAGACCAUUUUUUGAGGUCAUUUGUGUACUUGUGCUUAGCUAGUGACAUGAAAUUGCCCGCACAAGUUCAAAUGGGUUUAAACAAGUCUAAGCAGCAUUCAGUUGCAAGUCCUUUAUUCCAGAAUUUCUCAUAGUACUCGGCAUAUGUGAAGUUCCUGUACAUGGCUGGGUGGUCAUAGUUGACGAGCUCCUUGGCAGGCCCAAUUACUGCAUCUGGUGAUGGACAAUAGAAAGUUGGGAUCGAUAUUCUCUCCGAGUUACAGUUUAUCACAGCUCUAUGGAGUACACUCUUGUACCGAUUGUUGCUAAUUACCUGAUACCAAAUAAAAUGGUAAAAAGGUUAAAAAUCAAUUACAAAUUUUACUCCUGUGUUACAAAACUUUGUCCCUCUACUUGGACAAGUCCCCCUUGCUAGGGAGAAAUGAGCUUAACUAUCUCAGGAGUAAUGCCAUCAUCUAUUAUUUCAUGCCUCAUGUAACUAAACAGGUGAGAAAAAAGACAAAGAAAUCAAGAUUUCACGCCAUGGGGGCAUUUUCCAAUAUGCUCUUGGAAUUUGUAUACCCCAGAUGAUCUUUUGGCCAUUAGAUCCUUGGUAAACAAUCCAAUAACCAAAAAUUAAUUAAGAUAUAAUACACUGAAGCAUAGUAGUAAUAGUUAUUAGUCAUAAGAUCUUUCAUGCAAGAUCUAUUGACCAAUAUCUAAUGACGAAAUUUUGUUUGAUAACAUACACCGAAACGUAAUAAAUGUAGGAUAUAGAGUUUACCUGCAUCAUAUCACCAAUAUUGACAAUGAAAGUGUUGGGAAUAGGGUUGACAGCAACCCACUUGCCAUUUCUAAGGACCUGCAAUCCAGGCAGUUCAUCUUGGAGAAGGACAGUGAUUAGGUUGGCAUCAGUAUGUCCAGGCAAUCCAUAAGUUAGCUCUGGCUGAGGACAAGGUGGAUAGUAAUUCAAAGCCAUAUGCUGCCCUUGCCUCCCCAGUGCCUUAACAAUACAGUUCUUUUCCAAGCCCAAACUCUCUGAUAUGGCCUCAAGCAAUCUCAGCACCAAUCCUCUCACAUUUGUGCAGUACUCACCCACUUGCUCCCUGUGAACAAAGUACAGCUCAUGCGGUUGUGUGACUUAAAUGUAAUUAAUUAGAAACAAAUGAACUCAUCUACGACGAUGCUCUCCUGUUAGACUGGAACUUAGAUUAUUGGUCAGUUUGAUAUUUGACAAGAUGUAUAUAUAGUUCAUAUUCAAAGUUCGACAAGAUGAGCAUUUGUUUAGCAAUGUAAGCCUGACUAAAGAACGUUACUUGAGAUGAUGACAAAAAGUGCCCUUAUUUAACUAAACUAAUAAAUUCAAUUGGACAAUAUUCUCUUGUUAGAUUGUGUAUGUGUGCUCAGAUUCACAUCUUAACAAUAUAAUAAGUCUGGUUAGAAAACAUUAGUUGGUUUGAAUAUUUAAGUACUAGCAUAAGAUGAUGAAAAAGAAGGCAUCCCUAUUUACCUGAACAAUGGGGGAUUGUUAGGCCAUUCUUGGACAUGGUCUUGAAGAGGGUAGCAAUGGAGCCUAAGGAAGUCCCUCCAGUUGGAUAGUUUUUCAGUCCUGACGUUGAAACUGGUGGAGAGUCUGGUUGUCUUAGAAGGGUCAUCUGAGUACAUCUUCAACCUCUCGCUCUCUGAUAAUUGGAAAAACUCUCUUGCUAUAUGCAACAUGUUUUUUUAUCAUUUUCUCUAGAACACCAUGAUUUUUCACCUGAUAUAAAAAGGUUGGUGCAUCAUUUAGUCGUAAUAACGUGUAAUUAAGUAUAGAGUAAUGGGAUGUGUGUGUGUGUGUGUGUGUGUGUGUGUGUGUGUAAGAAGAAACAAAGGCACUAAUCAACAGGGUAUGCAGAUGGAGUAAAGGGCUGUGUUGAAAUCAUUUGCCCUAGUAUAUACAUACGUGCGUGUUUUAAUUGUUACCUGAAAGAAACCAUCAGUCUGGCAUGCUAGACCAAUCUGUUUGAUAAUAUCAGAGUUCGUUGGGCCAUGGAGGUCCUUGAGAUCAAUGAGAGGAAUGGAGGAGGCAUCUGAUACCUGAAAAGCAGUGAGAUUUGGACGGUCGGAGAUGGGUCGGAUGUAGUUUGAAGGGAUAUGGUUCACACCAGACAUGAGGUCUGUUAGCAGUAGGUUUGUUGUGGGGGCCAUUUU